ensembl:lncRNA
UACAUUCUCCAGUUCUGCUUUGUGGCUUCUCAAUCACAAACACACCUGACCAAGACAACAAUAACUGCUUUAUAUUUGAGGAAGGAAAAAUGGAGAGAGUAACACUAAUAUUUUCUCACAGCUGUUGUAUAUAACCAUGCUUCAUACUAUUCCUGCAUCCACACACACACACACACACAAAAAAAGAAAAAAAAAAAAAAAAGCAGAAGCCUCUUGCAGUCUCUCAGUGACAGAGAUGAGAAUACUCCCAGGCCACUGAGAAGACCAUCCAUCUUGGCCAUGAACGUGAUUGAUAGGUAGAAUAAUGACAGCAGGAGGACCACUGAGAGAAAGGGCACGUGGAGAGCAGUCUGCAUGAAAACAUGAUAGCUUGCUUGGAGUUCCUGUUGAAUUGUCUGUUAUUGUAAUACCUACCUGGAUUUCCCAACUUGGAGGGACGCUGCUGGGAAGGUGUGCGAUGAUUUUGAGCUAACAGUGCCAUCUAGUGAUGCAAGGGGCACACGGGACUCUGAGCCACAUGGCAGAGCUGCAGUCGUCGGGGGCUUCACAGGGAAGUAAUCACCUAGCAUAAUAUUCAGUAAUGCCCCUGUGGUGCUAGAGUUGCCUGUCGCAGAAUCCACACACGCUCCUGAAACAUCCCUGGAGGAUACAAAUGACCACCUGAGGACUUCUUUAAGCCCGAAGCAUGCAAUGACAAUGCUUGUUGUGAUUUAUUUUAAUGAGAAGUGCUAUCCUGGGAUGACAAAGGACAGUCUUUAUUCAGUGAGUCCUGAGACUGUAUGUGCUGAAAGAUGGAGAAGGAAAGAAAGAAAAUAUGCAGAAUAAAAGAUCACCAAGAGCAAAUGGUGUUCUGGAAGAAAGCUGUUGAUACAGAGAAAUUGAACCAAAUCACAUGUAACAAAAAAUAAAUUGGCAUAAAUUCUGCCUAUAUUAAAUCCCAGGGGGAUUUUUUUUUCCCAUUUAUUUUAAUGGAACUAGCAUUUCAGAGCAUACUCUGCUGAUGCUGUAAUCACCAAAGAAAUUUCACAGCUAGUGGAAUAUAAUUAAACAGAGUAAAGCAUCACCAGUUAACUAAGACCAUGUGAGAGGACUCUGCAAAGACAGACCUGCAAGCUUCUUUUAGAAGGAAGAGACAGAGCAUAGAGAACAGAGACAGCAGGGUAGAAACCUGCAUCUAGAAGAAGGUGUGAGCAGUAAUGAGGUGAUGGUAAAAAUUCAGCACAUCCCUCACUGAGCUACAAUUCUGUAGGUGGACUGGAAGCUUCUCAGAAUUAGCAAG